AUUUGAUGCCUGGCAGUUCCCUACUCUCGCAUGGGGAGACCCCACACUACCAUCGGCGCUACGGCGUUUCACUUCUGAGUUCGGCAUGGGGUCAGGUGGGACCACCGCGCUACUGCCGCCAGACAAAUUCUNNNNNNNNNNNNNNNNNNNNGAAUCAGUGCUGAAAAUCGUCUCUCAUCCGCCAAAACAUCUUCGGCGUUGUAAGGUUAAGCCUCACGGUUCAUUAGUACCGGUUAGCUCAACGCAUCGCUGCGCUUACACACCCGGCCUAUCAACGUCGUCGUCUUCAACGUUCCUUCAGGAGACCUAAAGUCUCAGGGAGAACUCAUCUCGGGGCAAGUUUCGUGCUUAGAUGCUUUCAGCACUUAUCUCUUCCGCAUUUAGCUACCGGGCAGUGCCAUUGGCAUGACAACCCGAACACCAGUGAUGCGUCCACUCCGGUCCUCUCGUACUAGGAGCAGCCCCCCUCAGUUCUCCAGCGCCCACGGCAGAUAGGGACCGAACUGUCUCACGACGUUCUAAACCCAGCUCGCGUACCACUUUAAAUGGCGAACAGCCAUACCCUUGGGACCUACUUCAGCCCCAGGAUGUGAUGAGCCGACAUCGAGGUGCCAAACACCGCCGUCGAUAUGAACUCUUGGGCGGUAUCAGCCUGUUAUCCCCGGAGUACCUUUUAUCCGUUGAGCGAUGGCCCUUCCAUUCAGAACCACCGGAUCACUAUGACCUGCUUUCGCACCUGCUCGCGCCGUCACGCUCGCAGUCAAGCUGGCUUAUGCCAUUGCACUAACCUCCUGAUGUCCGACCAGGAUUAGCCAACCUUCGUGCUCCUCCGUUACUCUUUAGGAGGAGACCGCCCCAGUCAAACUACCCACCAGACACUGUCCGCAACCCGGGUAACGGGUCCACGUUAGAACAUCAAACAUUAAAGGGUGGUAUUUCAAGGUCGGCUCCAUGCAGACUGGCGUCCACACUUCAAAGCCUCCCACCUAUCCUACACAUCAAGGCUCAAUGUUCAGUGUCAAGCUAUAGUAAAGGUUCACGGGGUCUUUCCGUCUUGCCGCGGGUACACUGCAUCUUCACAGCGAGUUCAAUUUCACUGAGUCUCGGGUGGAGACAGCCUGGCCAUCAUUACGCCAUUCGUGCAGGUCGGAACUUACCCGACAAGGAAUUUCGCUACCUUAGGACCGUUAUAGUUACGGCCGCCGUUUACCGGGGCUUCGAUCAGGAGCUUCGCUUGCGCUGACCCCAUCAAUUAACCUUCCGGCACCGGGCAGGCGUCACACCGUAUACGUCCACUUUCGUGUUUGCACAGUGCUGUGUUUUUAAUAAACAGUUGCAGCCAGCUGGUAUCUUCGACUGACUUCAGCUCCAUGAGUAAAUCACUUCACCUACGUGUCAGCGUGCCUUCUCCCGAAGUUACGGCACCAUUUUGCCUAGUUCCUUCACCCGAGUUCUCUCAAGCGCCUUGGUAUUCUCUACCUGACCACCUGUGUCGGUUUGGGGUACGAUUUGAUGUUACCUGAUGCUUAGAGGCUUUUCCUGGAAGCAGGGCAUUUGUUGCUUCAGCACCGUAGUGCCUCGUCGUCACGCCUCAGUGUUAAAGUGAACCGGAUUUACCUGGAACACACACCUACACGCUUAAACCGGGACAACCGUCGCCCGGCCAACAUAGCCUUCUCCGUCCCCCC
rnacentral:rRNA from 1 species